rnacentral:tRNA from 1 species
GCCAGUGUGGCAUAGUGGUUUGAGCACUGGACUCUGACUCUGUAGAUCAGGCUUUGAUUCCCAGCUCUGGCA